UGGGGAAUAUUGGACAAUGGGGGAAACCCUGAUCCAGCAAUGCCGCGUGAGUGAAGAAGGCCUUAGGGUUGUAAAGCUCUUUCGCCCGCGAAGAUAAUGACGGUAGCGGGAGAAGAAGCCCGGCUAACUCCGUGCCAGCAGCCGCGGUAAUACGGAGGGGGCUAGCGUUGUUCGGAAUUACUGGGCGUAAAGCGUACGUAGGCGGAUGCGCAAGUUGGGGGUGAAAUCCCGGGGCUUAACCUCGGAAUUGCCCUCAAAACUGCACGUCUUGAGACCGAGAGAGGUAAGGGGAAUUCCUAGUGUAGAGGUGAAAUUCGUAGAUAUUAGGAAGAACACCAGUGGCGAAGGCGCCUUACUGGCUCGGUACUGACGCUGAGGUACGAAAGCGUGGGGAGCAAACA
rnacentral:rRNA from 1 species